rnacentral:rRNA from 1 species
CGUAGGCAGCAAGCGUUGUUCGGAGUUACUGGGCGUAAAGAGUGCGUAGGCGGUCCUGUAAGUUUGGUGUGAAAUCUCCCGGCUCAACUGGGAGGGUGCGCCGAAGACUGCAGGGCUUGAGUAUGGGAGAGGUAAGCGGAAUUCCUGGUGUAGCGGUGAAAUGCGUAGAUAUCAGGAGGAACACCUGUGGUGUAGACAGCUUACUGGACCAUAACUGACGCUGAGGCACGAAAGCGUGGGUAGCAAACAGGAUUAGAUACCCUGGUAGUCCACGCCCUAAACGAUGCAUACUUGGUGUGAGCCAUUCAUUUGGUUCGUGCCGGAGCUAACGCGUUAAGUAUGCCGCCUGGGGAGUACGGUCGCAAGGCUG